CCGGCGCACGGGUGAGUAACGCGUAUGCAACUUGCCUAUCAGGAGGGGAUAACCCGGCGAAAGUCGGACUAAUACCGCAUGAAGCAGGGGCCCCGCAUGGGGAUAUUUGCUAAAGAUUCAUCGCUGAUAGAUAGGCAUGCGUUCCAUUAGGCAGUUGGCGGGGUAACGGCCCACCAAACCGACGAUGGAUAGGGGUUCUGAGAGGAAGGUCCCCCACAUUGGUACUGAGACACGGCCAA
rnacentral:rRNA from 1 species